CAGGGAAUAUUCCACAAUGGGCGACAGCCUGAUGGAGCAACGCCGCGUGCAGGAUGACGGUCUUCGGAUUGUAAACUGCUUUUAUACGGGAAGAUUAUGACGGUACCGUAUGAAUAAGGACCGGCUAACUACGUGCCAGCAGCCGCGGUAAUACGUAGGGUCCAAGCGUUAUCCGGAAUCACUGGGCGUAAAGCGUGCGUAGGUGGCGCGUUAAGUGAGAUGUUAAAUCGUGUGGCUCAACCAUAUCGCUGCAUCUCAUACUGGCGUGCUAGAGGACAGCAGAGGCAAGUGGAAUUUGUAGUGUAGCAGUGAAAUGCGUAGAUAUUACAAGGAACACCAAUGGCGAAGGCAGCUUGCUGGGCUACUCCUGACACUGAGGUACGAAAGCGUGGGGAGCGAACAG
rnacentral:rRNA from 1 species